rnacentral:rRNA from 1 species
AGCUUGCUCCCUGAUGUUAGCGGCGGACGGGUGAGUAACACGUGGGUAACCUGCCUGUAAGACUGGGAUAACUCCGGGAAACCGGGGCUAAUACCGGAUGGUUGUUUGAACCGCAUGGUUCAAACAUAAAAGGUGGCUUCGGCUACCACUUACAGAUGGACCCGCGGCGCAUUAGCUAGUUGGUGAGGUAACGGCUCACCAAGGCAACGAUGCGUAGCCGACCUGAGAGGGUGAUCGGCCACACUGGGACUGAGACACGGCCCAGACUCCUACGGGAGGCAGCAGUAGGGAAUCUUCCGCAAUGGACGAAAGUCUGACGGAGCAACGCCGCGUGAGUGAUGAAGGUUUUCGGAUCGUAAAGCUCUGUUGUUAGGGAAGAACAAGUACCGUUCGAAUAGGGCGGUACCUUGACGGUACCUAACCAGAAAGCCACGGCUAACUACGUGCCAGCAGCCGCGGUAAUACGUAGGUGGCAAGCGUUGUCCGGAAUUAUUGGGCGUAAAGGGCUCGCAGGCGGUUUCUUAAGUCUGAUGUGAAAGCCCCCGGCUCAACCGGGGAGGGUCAUUGGAAACUGGGGAACUUGAGUGCAGAAGAGGAGAGUGGAAUUCCACGUGUAGCGGUGAAAUGCGUAGAGAUGUGGAGGAACACCAGUGGCGAAGGCGACUCUCUGGUCUGUAACUGACGCUGAGGAGCGAAAGCGUGGGGAGCGAGAUA